rnacentral:rRNA from 1 species
CAGCACCUCAAGUGAUCAGGAUGAUUAUUGGGCCUAAAGCAUCCGUAGCCGGCGCUGUAAGUUUUCGGUUAAAUCUGUACGCUCAACGUACAGGCUGCCGGGAAUACUGCAGCGCUAGGGAGUGGGAGAGGUAGACGGUACUCGGUAGGAAGGGGUAAAAUCCUUUGAUCUAUUGGUGACCACCUGUGGCGAAGGCGGUCUACCAGAACACGUCCGACGGUGAGGGAUGAAAGCUGGGGGAGCAAACCGGAUUAGAUACCCGAGUAGUCC